GGGUAACAAGGGGCGAUGAGGGGCGGAAAUAGGUAGGUGGGAAGGGUUAUCCGUAAGUAUUGGGAGUAAAGCGCGCGUAGGCGGUUUUUUAAGUCGGAUGUGAAAGCACACGGCUCAACCGGGGAGGGUCAUUGGAAACUGGAAAACUUGAGUGCAGAAGAGGAAAGUGGAAUUCCAUGUGUAGCGGUGAAAUGCGCAGAGAUAUGGAGGAACACCAGUGGCGAAGGCGACUUUCUGGUCUGUAACUGACGCUGAUGUGCGAAAGCGUGGGGAUCAAACAGGAUAGAUACCCUUGUAGUC
rnacentral:rRNA from 1 species